rnacentral:rRNA from 1 species
GAUAACGCUGGCGGCGUGCUUAACACCUGCAAGUCUAAACGAGAUCCGUUCGGGGGUUGAUGGUGGCGGACGGGUGAGUAACGCGUGAGGAAUCUCGCCCAUCACCGAGGGGGCACAACAGUUGGAAACGACUGCCUGAUAUUACCCGGAUUACGCUGUGCGGAGUGAAAGAAGUUUCGGCCGAGGGAUGAUCGUUGCGAUCUGCAUUGACGCUAGUUCGGUGUGGUAAUGGCACACCAGAGAGACGACGGAUCAGUAGCGUGGUCUGAAAACGCAUGGCACGAGCCGACGAUUGCACACUGAGCACACGGUCCAAACUCCUACGGGAGGCAGCCAGUGGGGAAUUUUCCGCAAUGGACGCAAGUCUGCACGGAGCGACGCUGCGAUGAAGGAUGACGGCCCGCGGGUUGUAAACUUCUUUUCUCGAAGAAGAAACAAAUGACCGGUAUUCGAGGAAUAAGCAUCGGCUAACUCCGUGCCAGCAGCCGACGGUAAGACGGAGGAUGCAAGUGUUAUUCGGAAUGAUUGGGCGUAAAGAGUCUGUAGGCCGUAUAGAAAGUCUUUUGUAUACAAUGCCUCGGCUACAACCGAGAAUCCAGCAAAGGAAACUUCUAUACUUGAGGGAAGUAGAGGUACAGGGAAAUUCCCGGUUGGAGCGGUGACAAUGCGUCAGAUAUCGGGGAGGAACACCAAAUAUGGGAACGCACUGUACUGGCCUUUUCUGAACGCUGAGAGACAGA